CCGUGUACUCCCAGGUGCCGUCCGAGGUGAGCAGGGUGUCCCCGCCGAAGUGGUCGCCGUCCGCGAGCACACCGAGCACCGCGUCGUCCCCGUACGGGCCCUCGCCGACCUUCUCCACGCGGCCGUGCGCGAGCAGCACGACGCCGUCGAUGGGCUGGCCCUUCGUCGCCAGGAUGUCGCCCGGCGCGUACUCGCGCUGCUCGCAGCGGCGGGCGAGUUCGGUGAGCACCUCGGUGUCCUCGUACCCGUGCAGCGCCGCCAGUUCGCCGAGUUCGGCCGGGAUGACCUCGACGCGGUCUCCCGUCUUGACGAACGUGACGCGGCCGUCGCCGACCGUGUAGGUGAGCCGCCGGUUCACCCGGUAGGUACCGCCCUGGAUGUGGCUCCACGGCAGCAUCUUCAGGAGCCACCGGGAGGUGAUCUCCUGCAUCUGGGGUUCGGACUUGGUGGUCGUCGCCAGAUUCCGCGCCGCGGCCGUUCCGAGGCUCUGCUGCGGACGGUCCUG
rnacentral:antisense_RNA from 1 species